rnacentral:rRNA from 1 species
AAUCAACGCUGGCGGCGUGCCUCAGACAUGCAAGUCGAACGAUUAAAGCUCUCUUCGGAGAGUGCAUAGAGUGGCGCACGGGUGAGUAACACGUAAGUAAUCUACCCUCGAGUGGGGAAUAACGUCCGGAAACGGACGCUAAUACCGCAUAAUGCAGCGGCACCGCAAGGUGACAGUUGUUAAAGGAGAAAUUCGCUUGAGGAGGAGCUUGCGGUAGAUUAGCUAGNGGUAAGGUAAUGGCUUACCAAGGCUACGAUCUAUAACCGGUCUAAGAGGACGGUCGGUCACACUGACACUGAAUAACGGGUCAGACUCCUACGGGAGGCAGCAGUCGGGAAUUUUGGGCAAUGGGGGAAACCCGUGACCCAGCAACGCCGCGUGAAGGAUGAAGUAUUUCGGUAUGUAAACUUCGAAAGAAUAGGAAGAAUUAAUGACGGUACUAUUUAUAAGGUCCGGCUAACUACGUGCCAGCAGCCGCU